GAUGAACGCUAGCUACAGGCUUAACACAUGCAAGUCGAGGGGCAGCGGGAUUGAAGCUUGCUUCAUUGCCGGCGACCGGCGCACGGGUGAGUAACGCGUAUCCAACCUUCCGUACACUCAGGGAUAGCCUUUCGAAAGAAAGAUUAAUACCUGAUGGUAUCUUAAGCACACAUGUAAUUAAGAUUAAAGAUUUAUCGGUGUACGAUGGGGAUGCGUUCCAUUAGGUAGUAGGCGGGGUAACGGCCCACCUAGCCAACGAUGGAUAGGGGUUCUGAGAGGAAGGUCCCCCACAUUGGAACUGAGACACGGUCCAAACUCCUACGGGAGGCAGCAGUGAGGAAUAUUGGUCAAUGGACGAGAGUCUGAACCAGCCAAGUAGCGUGAAGGAUGAAGGUCCUACGGAUUGUAAACUUCUUUUAUAAGGGAAUAAACCCUCCCACGUGUGGGAGCUUGUAUGUACCUUAUGAAUAAGCAUCGGCUAACUCCGUG
rnacentral:rRNA from 1 species